CUCUUAUGUAGAGCAGGUGGAGGGACGAUCCCGAUGAAACCCGGCAACCUGUUUCGGUCUUGCGACUGAUUCAAGGUGCUAAUUCUCUCGCGCAGACAGCGUGGCAGAUAAGAG
rnacentral:ncRNA from 2 species